GCCCUGUGUAUGUGUGGGUGUGUGUGUGUAUGUAUGUGUAUGUGUGUGUAUGAGAGAGAGAGAGAGAGAGAGAGAGAGAGAGAGAGAGCUCAGCUCCUUUCUUUGUUUGACUGCUGAAUGGAGAAAAGCCAGAGAGAAAGAGAGAGUGUGUGAGCGAGAGAGAGAAAGAGAGAGAGAGUGAGGAAGGCAGUGAAGAGAAAGCAAGCAAAGGAGAGAAAGAGAGAGAGGAAGAAAGAAAGAAGGAGUGAGAGACAGUCAUAUAUACAUACAUAUGUGUGUUUGUUUGUGUGAGAGAGUGUGUGUAUAUUGAGGUGGAAUUCCAUCCGCCUCAUACUGAACUGUGUCAGCUUGUGCAUGGUUUGUGUUUUUGUGUGCAGCUGCCAGGGCUGUGUGUGCGUGUGUGUGCAUGCAUGCGCGUGUGUGAGAGAGAGAGAGGGGGUUUAAAGGGAAAAUAGAAGCGAGCAGAUUUGCUGAGCUGGACUGGGAGGCUGAGUUUUGCGACUGGCUGUGGAAUUACUGCCACUGGGACUAGCUCUGGAAACCACGAUCGAGUCGAGGAGCUUUGUGAGGACGAAGAAGGACAAGUUUAACACAGCAGAACUAGAGGUCAAGAUCUGCAGAGUUCAACGGAAUGAUCAGCUGCCAGAACUGAAG